AUGACGUACAUAUAUAUCUGGAUUUCUUCUGUAAGGAGUAUUCUCAUACACGUUUUUUCUCAUCAAUUCUCUUUUGACCAUAGAUAUAUAUGUACGUCAUAUAGACCACCCUCUGCCCCCAGCUGUGCUCUGGACACCAUAUGUGAACUGAUUGCCCCCCAUCUAUCUUCAGAGCUUGUGCUGCUAGGUGACCUAAACUGGGGCAUGCUUAACACCCCAGCCAUCCUACAAUCUAAGCUUGAUGCCCUCAAUCUCACACAAAUUAUCAAUGAACCUACCAGGUACCAGCCCAAAGCCGUAAACACGGGCAACCUCAUAGAUGUCAUCCUAACCAACUUGCCCUCUAAAUACACCUCUGCUGUUUUCAACCAAGAUCUCAGCGAUCACUGCUUCAUUGCCUGCAUCCGUAAUGGGUCAGCGGUCAAACAAUCUCCACUCAUCACUGUCAAACGCUCCCUGAAACACUUCAGCGAGCAGGCCUUUCUAAUCGACCUGGCCCGGGUAUUCUGGAAGGAUAUUGACCUCAUCCCGUCUGUAGAGGAUUCCUGGUUAUUUUUUAGAAAUGCCUUCCUCACCAUCUUAAAUAAGCAUGCCCCAUUCAAGAAAUGUAGAACGAGGAACAGAUAUAGCCCUUGGUUCUCUCCAGACCUGACUGCCCUUAACCAACACAAAAACAUCCUGUGGCGUUCUGCAUUAGCAUCGAACAGCCCCCGUGAUAUGCAACUUUUCAGGGAAGUUAGAAACCAAUAUACACAGGCAGUUAGAAAAGCCAAGGCUAGCUUUUUCCAGCAGAAAUGUUCUUCCUGCAACACAAACUCAAAAAGGUUCUGGGACACUGUAAAGUCCAUGGAGAAUAAGAGCACCUCCUCUCAGCUGCCCACUGCACUGAGGAUAGGAAACUCUGUCACCACCGAUAAAUCCACUAUAAUUGAGAAUUUUAAUAAGCAUUUUUCUACGGCUGGCCAUGCUUUCCACCUGGCUACCCCUACCCCGGUCAACAGCACUGCACCCCCCACAGCAACUCGCCCAAGCCUUUCCAAUUUCUCCUUCUCCCAAAUCCAGUCAGCUGAUGUUUUGAAAGAGCUGCAAAAUCUGGACACCUACAAAUCAGCCGGGCUAGACAAUCUGGACCCCCUCUUUCUAAAAUGA
rnacentral:lncRNA from 1 species